CCUUAAACAAUUUUAUUCAGUUGCCAAAUUGCUAAUUACAUGAUAUAGUUGCAUCAUCUUUAUGUACUCAUUUGUGCUGACUAUCAGUAUAUGAUCAUUUUCCUUGGUCUAGUUUCGACAUUGUUUACCAUUUGUUAUGUAGGAAAGGCCUCACAUGUUUCAAUUUGUUCCUAGCAGAAAACAAGUAAAAGCAGUGAAGAAGCUUCUUAAGAUGAUCGCAUAGAAUAGUAGAAGAAGGCUUGAGGGAGUGCCUGUAUUUACUGCCUAAAAUUUGAAAAUUGCAAUAGCUACAACUGGUGGAAUUAAGUGAGCACACAUCAGCAAAGGGAAACUCCUCCAAGUUUUCGAAGGGGAAACUAUAGAAGAUAUGAAAUAUCAGAACUCGUAAUUGAAAAACAGCUCUAAGUUGGAUGGAUUCCACCCAAAACAGAUGAAUAAUCCAGGAAGUGAUGCAGUCACUGCAGGAUGGUAAUUUUCAAGUUGUGAAGUGUAGAGCAUCUGUUUUCUGCUAUUCUGUAAUCCUAUUCUGAAUAACACAACUAGUAA